rnacentral:rRNA from 1 species
UACGGAGGGUGCAAGCGUUAUCCGGAUUCACUGGGUUAAGGUGCGUAGGUGGCAAGUAAGUCAGUGGUGAAAUCUCCGGGCUUAACCCGGAAACUGCCAUUGAUACUAUUUGUCUUGAAUACUGUGGAGGUCAGCGGAAUAUGUCAUGGUAGCGGUGAAAUGCUUAGAUAAUGACAUAGAACACCAAUUGCGAAGGCAGCUGGCUACACAAAUAUUGACACUGAGGCACGAAGCGUGGGAUCAAACAGGAAUUAGA